AUUGAACGCUGGCGGCAGGCCUAACACAUGCAAGUCGAACGAGUGGCGGACGGGUGCGUAAUGUCUGGGAAACUGCCUGAUGGAGGGGGAUACCUACUGGAAACGGUCGCUAAUACCGCAUACCAUCCGAUGUUCCCAGAUGGUAUUAUCUUGUGGGUGGGUUAACGGCUAACCAAGGCGACGAUCCCUAGCUGGUCUGAGAGGAUUACCAGCCACACUGGAACUGAGACACGGGCCAGACUCCUCCGGGAGGCAGCAGUGGGGAAUAUUGCACAAUGGGCGCAAGCCUGAUGCAGCCAUGCCGCGUGUAUGAAGAAGGCCGUCGGGUUGUAAAGUACUUUCAGCGGGGAGGCGUUACCCGCAGAAGAAGCACCGGCUAACUCCGUGCCAGCAGCCGCGGUAAUAC
rnacentral:rRNA from 1 species